rnacentral:lncRNA from 1 species
UAUUCCCGAGCAGAAAAGGUUUCUACAAGCAGACAACAAAGAAAGGUAUCUCCAGGUCAAAGCCUUCUUCCCGGAAAGCCCCUCCCAAACACGCAGCCAUCCAAGUUUCUGAUGCUACACAGCAGGAGAUGUUGAUUUCGCACGGCUUCCUCGAUUUCAACGGUACCGUUUACUUCUUUAUGUUUACAUUUGCAUAUUCGUAGAGUUUGCUUCCCUCCCUCAAAUUUUUCAUGGGAUCAGAUGCCUCAAGGUUGUCACUAGCCAAGCUUUUGCCUCAGCAGGUCGUUGCCGUCUUGCUUGCGUGCUGACCAACGUCGCCGGCGAAGCUAUCCAUGGU